ACUAAUUUUAAUUUCCUCUCGACAGAUGCUAUUGACUUAAAGAAUAUUGACAAACAGCGAACUACGUUUGUAUGGAAUUUAUGUUCUUUUGUUUCGUCGUUCUGUGCCAUUUGUUUGGAAACGUAACUUCAUCAAUAUUCGGUAUAAGUGAGGCGCUCGCAGCUUUGGUCAAACUAAGAGGCAAAAGCGAAAUAUUUGAUCAUGAGACAUGAAAGUUGCCCGACGAGGCGUUAACCACGAAGAGGCAAGACGUCGGGUGAUAAUCAACACUUUUCCCUCGCACUGAGUAUAAGAUGUUUUCUAAUUAAGGUUUUUCUAGCGUUAGAGUCAUAUCAAACAAUGAAUGACCCCAAUGACGAUGUGCCACCCGACAUCAAAAACGCCGGAAAGGUAGAAGGAACUGUAUAAAAUGGCCUGCAAACGAUACGAAAAUUAGUGUGAGCUCAAGAAGGUCAAAAUCACAUCACAGAAACCAGUUCUUGCAUAUUUUUACGAAAGAGCAAAGAUCCAAAAAGCAUCCACAAUUUGAAGGCUGUUGGGAUCAAAAAUGGAAAUAAAGCAAAAUGUGGAUAUAUAAACACUGAAGAUCGAAAUUUUCACAAUCGGUGAAGGUACCUAAUGUUGAACGAAUUAAUGUCAGCACCCCAAAACUGUCAAAAUGCAAUUGCUUCUUUUUGAGAUAUAGAAAUAGAAAGUGUUCCAAUCAACCUAUGGAUAUUAACACACUGAUGGGGAUGUUCCAGAAAUAAAUUGCAAAAUUUCAUAGUUCAGAAAAUCCGGAAAAUACAGAUGUCACUUUUUCCGAAGAUCGUCUGCAUUGUUACUGGCAGAGGGUCAUGCAGAUUUAUUACCACUGAAAAGAUAUGGUGAAUGGAAAUCCAGUAGCGGCACUGAAAGUUACGUUGCGAAGUCAACAGCAACUAAAAAAUAUGUAUCUAUGAAAACUGUAACAGAUAUUAAUAUGAAAAUAUCAACAUCCGCUUUUUAUCUAGAAUUAGUGGCGCUAAAUUUAAAAUUGUAUCACUAAUAUCUGCAAUAAAUGAAAUUCAACAAAUAUUACCAGGAAGAAAAAUGUUGUUAUUCCUUUUCAUAUUUAACUUAGGUAACUUUCUCUUUAGUUGUCUCAGAAACGGUCGAUCCGAUUUUGUUGAAACUUUGGAAAUAUUUUAGAUAUAAUGUUUACUUUUUCUGAUCAAAUGUAAAUGCUUGCUCAUCCCCUUCAAAAAGUUGAUAACAUAUUACAUUAAUUCCUGCUGCAUAAUAUGUGGCAGUCGUAGUCUUUCGGUGGUAAAGGAACUGUAAAUAAACGGAAGUUUUGUUUUACAAAAGCUCUCCCACUUCAGCCUUACAACAGUAUUGGUGGAGCCAUCUCUUGGGAACCCUCCAGAAGCUUUUACAGAGUGACUAUAACGUGAAAGCCGUGGUGCUUUCAUUACCAUUUAAUCAAUAAAACAACAAUACUCACACAACACACAGUGGAACAAUCAAUUAAACAUUCCUAAACCAUCUAAAUAACACCUCGACCUUCACCCACUCCCCGCCGCAACCUUCACCUUCGUACAGAUCGUUAUCCGC